rnacentral:rRNA from 1 species
AACAAGGAUUCCCCUAGUAACUGCGAGUGAAGCGGGAAAAGCUCAAAUUUAAAAUCUGGCGGUCUCUGGCCCGUCCGAGUUGUAAUCUAGAGAAGUAAUGCCCGUGCUGGACCGUGUAUAAGUCUCCUGGGAUGGGGCGUCAUAGAGGGUGAGAAUCCCGUCUUUGACACGGACUACCAGUACAUUGUGGUAUGCUCUCAAAGAGUCGAGUUGUUUGGGAAUGCARCUCAAAAUGGGUGGUAAAUUCCAUCUAAAGCUAAAUAUUGGCGAGAGACCGAUAGCGAACAAGUACCGUGAGGGAAAGAUGAAAAGAACUUUGGAAAGAGAGUUAAACAGUACGUGAAAUUGCUGAAAGGGAAACGCUUGAAGUCAGUCGCGUUGGCCGGGGAUCAGCCUUGCUUUUGCAUGGUGUACUUUCUGGUUGACGGGUCAGCAUCAAUUUUGACCGCUGGAAAAAGACCUGGGGAAUGUGGCAGCUUCGGCUGUGUUAUAGCCCCUAGUCGCAUACAGUGGUUGGGAUUGAGGNACUCAGCAC